UACGAAGGGGGCUAGCGUUGCUCGGAAUCACUGGGCGUAAAGCGCACGUAGGCGGAUUGUUAAGUCAGGGGUGAAAUCCUGGAGCUCAACUCCAGAACUGCCUUGAUACUGGCGAUCUUGAGUCCGGGAGAGGUGAGUGGAACUGCGAGUGUAGAGGUGAAAUUCGUAGAUAUUCGCAAGAACACCAGUGGCGAAGGCGGCUCACUGGCCCGGUACUGACGCUGAGGUGCGAAAGCGUGGGAGCAA
rnacentral:rRNA from 1 species